rnacentral:tRNA from 1 species
GCUCCCGUGGUGUAGUCCGGUCAAUCAUUCCGGCCUUUCGAGCCGGCAACUCGGGUUCGAAUCCCGACGGGAGCA